UGUGGGUAGCGGAGAAAUUCCAAACGAACUUGGAGAUAGCUGGUUCUCUCCGAAAUAGCUUUAGGGCUAGCGUCGACAUCAAGAUUCUUGGAGGUAGAGCACUGUUUGGGUGAGGGGUCCAUCCCGGAUUACCAAUCUCAGAUAAACUCCGAAUGCCAAAGAAUUAUGGUCGGCAGUCAGACUGCGAGUGCUAAGAUCCGUAGUCGAAAGGGAAACAGCCCAGACCACCAGCUAAGGUCCCAAAAUAAUUGUUAAGUGGAAAAGGAUGUGGGGUUGCACAGACAACUAGGAUGUUAGCUUAGAAGCAGCUAUUCAUUCAAAGAGUGCGUAAUAGCUCACUAGUCGAGUGACCCUGCGCCGAAAAUGUACCGGGGCUAAAACAAUUUACCGAAGCUGUGGAUACCUUUAAUGGUAUGGUAGGAGAGCGUUCUAUGUGUGGAGAAGGUGUACCGUGAGGAGCGCUGGAACGCAUAGAAGUGAGAAUGCCGGUAUGAGUAGCGAAAGACAGGUGAGAAUCCUGUCCACCGUAAGACUAAGGUUUCCAGGGGAAGGCUCGUCCGCCCUGGGUUAGUCGGGACCUAAGGAGAGACCGAAAGGUGUAUCCGAUGGACAACAGGUUGAUAUUCCUGUACUAGAGUAUGUAGUGAAGGAGGGACGCAGUAGGCUAACUAAAGCGUGCGACUGGAAGUGCACGUCUAAGCAGUGAGGUGUGAAUUGAGUUAAAUGCUUAGUUCUAUAACAUUGAGCUGUGAUGGGGAGCGAAGUUUAGUAGCGAAGUUAGUGAUGUCACACUGCCAAGAAAAGCUUCUAGCGUUAAUCAUACUCUACCCGUACCGCAAACCGACACAGGUAGUCGAGGCGAGUAGCCUCAGGUGAGCGAGAGAACUCUCGUUAAGGAACUCGGCAAAAUGACCCCGUAACUUCGGGAGAAGGGGUGCUGGCUUAAAGUCAGCCGCAGUGAAUAGGCCCAAGCAACUGUUUAUCAAAAACACAGCUCUCUGCUAAAUCGUAAGAUGAUGUAUAGGGGGUGACGCCUGCCCGGUGCUGGAAGGUUAAGAGGAGUGCUUAGCGGUGACGCGAAGGUAUGAAUUGAAGCCCCAGUAAACGGCGGCCGUAACUAUAACGGUCCUAAGGUAGCGAAAUUCCUUGUCGGGUAAGUUCCGACCCGCACGAAAGGCGUAAUGAUUUGGGCACUGUCUCAACGAGAGACUCGGUGAAAUUUUAGUACCUGUGAAGAUGCAGGUUACCCGCGACAGGACGGAAAGACCCCAUGGAGCUUUACUGCAGUUUGAUAUUGAGUGUCUGUACCACAUGUACAGGAUAGGUAGGAGUCUAUGAGAUCGGGACGCCAGUUUCGAAGGAGACGUUGUUGGGAUACUACCCUUGUGUUAUGGCCACUCUAACCCGGAUAGGUGAUCCCUAUCGGAGACAGUGUCUGACGGGCAGUUUGACUGGGGCGGUCGCCUCCUAAAAGGUAACGGAGGCGCCCAAAGGUUCCCUCAGAAUGGUUGGAAAUCAUUCGCAGAGUG
rnacentral:rRNA from 1 species